GUCUCGACUGCUCGUAGAACCGGAAAGGCAGGCCGCUGGGUGAAGCGUUGGCUGUCUGGCCGAAACCCAACACCUCUGUUGCACUGGGCUGCACAGGGAGGUCCAACAGAGCUGCGUACAGAGUGGAGUGGAGAGUAAUGAGACCAUCUGGAGGGGAAGUCCAAGUGGCUGAUGGGUAAAUCCAUACGUCUGUCAGUGAAUACACAUAAGGAAGAACCAGCUUUUUCGCAUAUCUUCCCUGGAAAAUGAUAUGAAGCACUCAGGAAACAACAGAAAUAAACACCCGAUAAAAGAAGAAGGGAAAAAAACAAUAGAAGAGAAAGAGGAAGAAAAACAAGGAACAAGAAAUCUAAGAAAGAGAAAAACAAGGAAUCGCACAAAGAAAGAAGAAACACUAACGAAGGCAUGUAAGGAACAGUGAAGCCUGGAUGAAUCGUCGCAAAUAACAAAGGAAAUUAAAAAAAACAAAGCGUGUGUGAGGAAGAAGUACAACCGAGAAAUAACAGAAUGAUAAAAAAAAAAAUCCUUGAUUUUAAUGACUGAACACUUUUAGCACAGAGGACAGCUGAACAGAUAUGAACACAA